CUUAAAAAACACCACCAGCGCAUUCACACUGCCUCGUAGUGAACAUGUUUCAGAGCCAAGCUGUUUCCUCCUGCCCCCUCCUCAUGCCCUGAUAGCUGUGUUAUAUUCUGAUCCUCUCUCCACAUUGAAGGCUGACAAGCAGUAACUUUAUCUUCUGAACAGCAUGUAUGUUAUCGUGGAUCAGCUGGACGUUUUUUUGCCUUUCCUCAGAACA